GUUCCCUGCCCAUAACAAGCUUACAGUCUGGGGCAGAGACAGACAAUAAUAUAAAUAAGUAAUUUCUAAUAUAUAAUUCAUCUGGAUGUGGCAAGUCUCUAGACUGUAAGCUUGUUGGGGGCAGGGAAU
rnacentral:pre_miRNA from 1 species